ACAUCAAUUAGAUGCUGCCGGCUUAAGAAUUUUCUCAAAUUAUAGUAAGCAGGAAGAAGCGUUAGCAAGAAGAUAAACCAAUGCCCUGUGACAAGGAAUAGGAUGCAGAAUGCACCAUGUAAGAUAUACUCUUUAAGGACAACAGAGUUGAUACGAGAUGAAGACUCAUAAGGGUUCAUAUAAUCAGCUUCCAAAUCUGUUAAGCAAACGAUCUGGUAGAUGAGUAAUGAAAUAAGGGCAAUGUUAAUGGCUAAAA
rnacentral:misc_RNA from 1 species